UUGGAGGGCAAGUCUGGUGCCAGCAGCCGCGGUAAUUCCAGCUCCAAUAGCGUAUAUUAAAGUUGUUGCAGUUAAAAAGCUCGUAGUUGAAAUUCGAAAUUUGUCCUAUGGUCGGGCUUUACGGUCCGUACAGUAGUGGCGAAUUUCUACCUUCUGAAGAACCUUCAUGUCAUUAAUUUGGUGUGUUGGGAAAUCAGGACUGUUACUUUGAAAAAAUUAGAGUGUUUAAAGCAGGCUUAAGUCUGAAUACAUUAGCAUGGAAUAAUGAAAUAGGACGGAUUGGUUCUAUUUUGUUGGUUUCUAGGAUCACCGUAAUGAUUAAUAGGGAUAGUUGGGGGCAUUAGUAUUCAAUUGUCAGAGGUGAAAUUCUUGGAUUUAUUGAAGACUAACUUCUGCGAAAGCAUUUGCCAAGGAUGUUUUCAUUAAUCAAGAACGAAAGUUAGGGGAUCGAAGACGAUCAGAUACCGUCGUAGUCUUAACCAUAAACUAUGCCGACUAGGGAUCGGACGAAGUUAAUUUUAUAAUGACGCGUUCGGCGCCUUACGGGAAAC
rnacentral:rRNA from 1 species